GAUGAACGCUGGCGGCGUGCCAAAUACAUGCAAGUCGAGCGAACGGACGAGAAGCUUGCUUCUCUGAUGUUAGCGGCGGACGGGUGAGUAACACGUGGAUAACCUACCUAUAAGACUGGGAUAACUUCGGGAAACCGGAGCUAAUACCGGAUAAUAUUUUGAACCGCAUGGUUCAAAAGUGAAAGACGGUCUUGCUGUCACUUAUAGAUGGAUCCGCGCUGCAUUAGCUAGUUGGUAAGGUAACGGCUUACCAAGGCAACGAUGCAUAGCCGACCUGAGAGGGUGAUCGGCCACACUGGAACUGAGACACGGUCCAGACUCCUACGGGAGGCAGCAGUAGGGAAUCUUCCGCAGUGGGCGAAAGCCUGACGGAGCAACGCCGCGUGAGUGAUGAAGGUCUUCGGAUCGUAAAACUCUGUUAUUAGGGAAGAACAUAUGUGUAAGUAACUGUGCACAUCUUGACGGUACCUAAUCAGAAAGCCACGGCUAACUACGU
rnacentral:rRNA from 1 species